GAAUCCAAAAUAAAAUUAUAUAUGGAUCCAAAAUAAUCCAAACCCUAGACUAAUAAUUCACGCCUCUCCCCUCUCUUCUCCUCUUCUUCGCUCCCCUAAAUUCAUGUUGAUUUUACCAAAUAAUUACAAAAUCACGUCGGAUCGAACUCCAAAAUGCAGACUUUCAUCAUUUUUUUUAAACGCUUAAAUCUCUCAACGGCUUUAGAACACAAUUCAAAUCCAAAAAGCUCGGAACUAAAAAUUAGAAUAGACUAACCAUUUUGUAGGUAGGGGCCAUACUCAGUGGCGGAGAGAUGCAUUUUGAUGUCCUCGAGGGUUUCGCAUUGGCAGAGGUUGUUGUAGUCGGAAGCAGUGAGGAGUCCAAAUCGAUGGCCUCGUACAAUCGUCUCCAGGUACCCUCCGUGAAUGUUGAAGGUCAGGGCUUCGAAUCCAUACAUUUUCUACAGAUUUGAAGCAAAUCGUAUAGUUUAGAAAGGUAAAAUUUAUGAAACCCUGAAAGGAAACCCUGAGCGAUGCUUUUAGAUUCUUUGAUUUACUAAUGGAGGGAAAUUCUGCGGUGUUGAUGUAUGAAAGUUUAAAGAGAAUUUGUUAAUUUUGAAAAUGUGGUUCUUGUACAAUAGAAUUUAUGUAUUAUUCCCUAUAAAAAUGAUUAAUUCGGAUUUUUGUCUAUAACCGGGCUUCAACCAUUAAAUGCUAUAAGAAUGUACAGUUGUUGGUUUUAUUAGAAAAAUUGUUCAUGUUAAAGCCGUAUGAAUGCACAUCUUAUGAGUUAGUGGCUUUCUUCUAGAAUCUUUUUCCCAUGGAAUGGCAGGGGUGUAAUUGAAAGCAUUUGAAGAAAUUGUAGGACAUGCUAUAAUAAGUACUUGAAAAUUCUGGACAUUUGGGUUUGUGUUUCAUUGGACGAGCUUUUGAGAUGUGGCGUUUGAAACUAAUGAAAGUAUCGUAUGAAGUUAUAUGUCAUAGGGGUAAAUUUUUGAGAGCUAUUAUGUUUGCCAAUUGUCAAAAUUGCUUUCGAUAGAUUAUAUGAUUUUAACAUGUAAAUUUUUUCCAGUCGAAAGCGCCCGAAAGAGUGGUGCUCGUAUACCAUAACUUAUUCUUCUGUGAACUUGAGCUUGAUUCUUAAUAUAGCCAUGAGGAUUUGUUAUUUAUCUGGGUCUAGGAAGUGCAACGAAAUAUGGUGUGGCCUCCACAAAUCAAUCAUCGAAUGUCUUCAAUGCCUAGGUUGAUUGCGGUUGCAAUUGACAGGGAUAAAGGAAGCCAAAUUUUGAUCCAUGUUAAAGUAAAACAUAGUUCACCAUUUUUGGCUACAUCCGCAUCUCUUCCUUUGCCAAGUAAAUCUCUCUCUCUCUCUCCCUCCCUCCCUCCCUUUCUGUGUAUGUGGGUAGUGUACAUAUUUGUGGAGUUGCUUGCCUGCAAAUUGUAGUACUAGUGUUUUGGCUCGGCCGGGAUGGCAGGAUAGACUUGGGGGUGGGGUGUUGGUAUUUUGAGUAAUUUUUGUUUCCAUACACGUUUGAAUAGGUUUCAUUUUUCGUAAGCAAAAGAAUCUACUUAUUUUGGUAGUAAGUUAAAAGGUUAAUUUCAAAUCAGCUUGAUUAGUAUAUAAUCAAUUUGCAAAAUUGAGAUUGGCAUAGGAAUGAUUUGGUAAGAGAUUGAGGCCAUGUCCUCCACGUUGCUUUUAUAUUUCUAGUAACAUUCAGUUGAAUAUUGUUCGAGGAUUGAUACGUUUUCAUAAAAUAAUGAGUUCUGAAGUUAUCAUACUUAAGAUUUAGAUACAAAAUAUAUGUUGCAUUAAUUAAAAUUAUCAUAUUUGUUGAGACUUUCCACCAGUUAAAGUGCUUGGUUGCUUUUAGUGUGUAUAAGCAGUUACCAGUUAAUAUUCACACAAAGUCAAACAGGUUUACAUUUUUACAAUCUAGUCAUUGUAAAUAUUAUCAUAUUUUAGUGAGUUUAACUUUCGUUUUGAUUAUUGUUUUGCAAGUUUAGGUAGAUGAUGGGGAUAAUUUUGUCAUUACAUUCUAAGUUGUUUGUCCUUGGCCUAUGUUGGUGGUUUUUUCAUUGGUCAUUAUCUAUUGCAUUAUAUUUAUUCAGUUCAAGCGAUAAUACUUAUCUAGUGAGAAUUAUGUUAGCUGAAAUUUUUGUUAUCUUGUUAGCAUCAGCAGAUUGCAAUGGAUUAAAGAAGUUGGCCUUGGAGGAGAAAAUCAUCCGAUAAGCAAGUGGCUGAGAAAGCACCCCCUGUUAUCAUUUUUUUUUUUUUUUUUUUUUUGUGGAAAAUGUAUCGAAUUUUUAGGUGUUUUAGAAUUUUAGAUUUGGAUUUUGUAUGAAUAUUGUUACAUUUUAAAGUUCAAUUAAUAAUUAUUAUUGGAGUUAUUUGAUAUAAUUA
rnacentral:lncRNA from 1 species